rnacentral:rRNA from 1 species
UACGUAGGGUGCGAGCGUUAAUCGGAAUUACUGGGCGUAAAGCGUGCGCAGGCGGUUUUGUAAGUUUGUCGUGAAAUCCCCGGGCUCAACCUGGGAAUGGCGAUGAAGACUGCAAGGCUAGAGUUUGGCAGAGGGGGGUAGAAUUCCACGUGUAGCAGUGAAAUGCGUAGAUAUGUGGAGGAACACCGAUGGCGAAGGCAGCCCCCCUGGGUCAAAACUGACGCUCAUGCACGAAAGCGUGGGGAGCAAACAGG